rnacentral:misc_RNA from 1 species
AAAGCCUAGAACCGCGUAGUGCAGCGACACAACCAGUGUCAUCGCGGUGCUUUUCGGUAUUCAGUAGUAAAACCCUACCAGUCGUUGUCCUGCUGUUUCUUAGCAACUCUAAUGGCAACCGCCAAAACGACCACAGAUGAAUCUGACGUUGGCAUCUUAUGCUAUAUCUCUCAACUCCCUGGCUUUCGCGGGAUUCUCAAGCAAAGAUACUCCGAUUUUAUAGUGAACGAAGUU